rfam:Ciona savignyi cont_26565, whole genome shotgun sequence.
UCCCCGGUGGUCUAGUGGUUAGGAUUCGUGGCUCUCACCCCCGCGGCCCUGGUUCGAUUCCCGGUCUGGGAA